rnacentral:rRNA from 1 species
GCCGGUAAAACUCGUGCCAGCCACCGCGGUUAUACGAGAGGCCCGAGCUGAUAAUUGUCGGCGUAAAGGGUGGUUAAGAACAAUGAAAACUAAAGCCGAACCUUCUUUGAGCUGUUAUAAGCAUCAAAGAGAGAGAAGCCCUACCACGAAAGUAGCUUUAUUAUAUUUGACCCCACGAAAGCCAGGGUACAAACUGGGAUUAGAUACCCCACUAUG